GACGAACGCUGGCGGCGUGCUUAACACAUGCAAGUCGAACGGAAAGGCCCUGCUUUUGUGGGGUGCUCGAGUGGCGAACGGGUGAGUAACACGUGAGUAACCUGCCCUUGACUUUGGGAUAACUUCAGGAAACUGGGGCUAAUACCGGAUAGGAGCUCCUGCUGCAUGGUGGGGGUUGGAAAGUUUCGGCGGUUGGGGAUGGACUCGCGGCUUAUCAGCUUGUUGGUGGGGUAGUGGCUUACCAAGGCUUUGACGGGCAGCCGGCCUGAGAGGGUGACCGGCCACAUUGGGACUGAGAUACAGCCCAGACUCCUACGGGAGGCAGCAGUGGGGAAUAUUGCACAAUGGGCGGAAGCCUGAUGCAGCAACGCCGCGUGCGGGAUGACGGCCUUCGGGUUGUAAACCGCUUUCGCCUGUGACGAAGCGUGAGUGACGGUAAUGGGUAAAGAAGCACCGGCUAACUACGUG
rnacentral:rRNA from 1 species